UUCCACUCCCCAGCCACUGUUCAAUCCAAAAAGUCUAAACCUCCAUUCGCAAAAGUCUAAGGAUGACUAUGCGACCAAAGUGCGAACCGCGAAAUGCUUAUGCGGUCGCAUAAUUGGCCGCUAAAUUGACAUAAAAAAUGCCCCAGAAAACUGCCUCACUCCCCGACCAAUCUGCGGUCCGUAGAGUGGUUCUGCGGUCGCAGAACGGGUCACAAAAAUGCCUACUUCUGCCCAACAUUUUCCUUUAAAUCACCAGGCACUAUUCAAUCCAAAAAGUCCGAAUCUCCUUCCGAAAAAGUCUAAGGAUGAUUAUGCGACCAAAGUGCGGCCCGCAAAAUGGUUAUGCAAUCGCAAAAAUAGCCGCAAAAUUGACAUCAAAAACUCCCCAAAAAACUGCCUCACUAUGCGAACAUUCUGCGGUGCACAGAGAGGUUCUGCGGCCGCAGAACGGGCCAUAAAAAUGCCUACUUUUGCAAAACAUUCUCCUUCAACUCCCCAGGCACUGUUCAAUCCAAAAGGUCCAAACCUUCAUUCGCAAAAGUCUAAGGAUGAUUAUGCGACCAAUGUGCCACCCGCGAAUUGCUUAUGCGGUCGCAUAAUUGGCCGCUACAUCCACAUAAAA
rnacentral:lncRNA from 1 species